ensembl:lncRNA
UUUCAUUUGAAUAUUUAUUGGUGGCUAUUCAAGUUUUUUAUUGAACUAUUUAUCAAAUGGACAGAGGCGGCUGAUCUUCCAGCCCAGGGAAGGUAAAGGUGAAAUUCCUCUGACGUCCGGGAGUCACUGUACCACUAAUGGAGGGCCACAGAUUCUUUCACAGGCAAGAUUCAGAAAGCUGUUCCUACUGUGUUGUCUGUACAGCAGGUGGCAACAUGGAGGCACAAGUAGAUUCCAACUGAAACAUGACAUCACAGGCUGGGCUAAACAAUUCCAGGGUUAGGAUUAGAAAGACAUGAUUAGACCUCAGAAGCAGUUGGACUCUUUGACUGUAUGAUAUGGGAGCACAAUAGGGUUAUAUACUGUACUAACUUACAAGGUUGAAACAUACUGUCUAGUCAUUACAACAAAAGUUCCGUUUGAGGAAUUACAGAAUGCAGACAGAUUAAAACAAGACUGAAAAACAGAAACCAAAGAACCUUUAUUAAAUAGUAAUGUGAGGUUUCAGUUGGAUUUUCUUCAUUCCAAAAAACUAUACCAGGGUUUUAGUUUUAGUGUGAAUCAAGGCUCCCUGCAUAGUAGGAUGGGGGGGGGGCAGGUGUUCCCCAAAACAGAACCAGAGAGAGGGUGAAUUCGUUUUAACUCGCCCAGUGCUCCGGGACACUUUAGGACCAAUGGAAUGGUCUAAAAAAUGUGCCCGGGCCAGUUAUUGACCACUGUGUGAUGUUACAGAGUCCUGCUUGUAUUGACCACUGUGUGUAGUUAAAAGUCUUGCUUGUACCAUCUCAGGUAGCCCGGUCCAGAUCUGGUCGUACCGUCUCAGGUAGCCCGGUCCAGAUCUGGUCGUACCGUCUCAGGUAGCCCGGUCCAGAUCUGGUCGUACCGUCUCAGGUAGCCCGGUCCAGAUCUGGUCGUACCGUCUCAGGUAGCCCGGUCCAGAUCUGGUCGUACCGUCUCAGGUAGCCCGGUCCAGAUCUGGUCGUACCGUCUCAGGUAGCCCGGUCCAGAUCUGGUCGUACCGUCUCAGGUAGCCCGGUCCAGAUCUGGUCUGAAUGUCAAGCUAAACCAAGUGAAACAAGGUGGGGGAAAAAGGUUUGUUUGUAGAGUAAGGAGACAGUACUGUAAGUGGUUACACAUCAGCAACAUGUUGUAGUAUUAGCCAGCAGAAACAGCAGACAGCAGUCACUUUGGGAAGUAUAGACCUUACUCCAGAUCAGCUCAUAGAAGACUGUUCCUGUGCUCCUCCAUGCUGCAGAUCAGGCAUGUUGUGAAGAUCAUUCAAACCUGUUAUAUGUAUCAAUGUCUAAUAGAAAGUACCUCUCGACUCUUUCCAGAUUUGGUUGUUUUACAAAGUGGGAUUCAAAUGGAUUUAAUUGUCAUUUUUUUGUCAAUGAUCUACACAAAAUACUAAUAUAUUGUGAUUAGAUAAGUAUUCAACCCCCUGAGUCAAUACAUGUUAGAAUCACCUUUGGCAACGAUUACACCUGUGUCUUUCUGGGUAAAUCUCUAAGAGCUUUUUAAUUCUUCAAGCUCUGUCAAGUUGGUUGUUGAUCAUUGCUAGACUGCCAUUUUAAGGUCUUGCCAUAGAUUUUCAAGUAGUUUUAAGUAAAAACUGUAACUAGGCCACACCGGAACAUUCAAUGUCAUCUUGGUAAGCACUCAAAUGUAUACUGAACAAAAAUAGAUAAGUGUUGAACCCAUGUUUAAUGAGCUGAAAUAAAAGAUCCCAGAAAUGUUUCAUACACACAAAAAGCUUAUUUCACUCAAAUGUUGUGCACUAAUUUGUUGACAUCCAUUAGUGAGCAUUUAUCCUUUGCCAAGAUAAUCCAUCCACCUGACAGGUGUGGCAAAUCAAGAAGCUGAUUAAACAGCAUGACCAUUACACAGGUACCCCUUGUGCUGGGGACAAUAAAAGGCCACACAAAUGUGCAGUUUUGUCACACAGCACAAUGCCAAGAAGUCUCAAGUUUUAAGGGAGCGUGCGAUUGGCAUGCUGACGGCAAGAAUGUCCGCCAGAGCUGUUGCCUGAUAAUUUAAUGUUAAUUUCUACCAUAAGCUGCCUUCGACGUAGUUUUAGAGAAUUUGGCAGUACGUCCAACCAGCCUCAGAACCGCAGACUACGUGUAACCACUGUAGCCCAGGACCUCCAUAACCAGCUUCUUCACCAGCGGGAUUGUCUGAGACCAGCCAGCUGGACAGCUGAUGAAACUGUGGGUUUGCACAACCAAAGAAUUUCUGCACAAACUGUCAAAAACUGUCUCAGGGAAGCUCAUCUGCGUGUUCGGCGUCAUAACCAUCUUCAGUGGGAAAAUGCUCACCUUCAAUUGUCACUGGCACGCUGGAAAAGUGUGCUCUUCAUGGAUUAAUCCCAGUUUCAACUGUCCCGGGCAGAUGGCAGACAGUGUGUAUGGCGUCGAGUGUACGAGAGGUUUGCUGAUGAACAGAGUACCCCAUGGUGGCGGCGGGGUUAUGGUAUGGGCAGGCAUAAACUAUGGAUAAUGAACACAACUGCAUUUUAUCGAUGGCAAUUUGAAUGCAGAGAUACCGUGAUGAGAUCCUGAGGCCCAUUGUCCACUCAUCCAUUCAUCCACCGCCAUCACCUCAUGUUUCAGUAUGAUAAUGCACGGGCCCAUGUCACAUGGAUCUGAACACAAUUCCUGGAAGCUGAAAAUGUCCCAGUUCUUCCAUGGCCUGCAUACUCACCAGACAUGUCAUUAAUUGAGCAUGUUUGGGAUGCUCUGUAUCAACGUGUAUGACAGUGUGUUCCAGUUCCUGCCAAUAUCCAGCAACUGCACACAGCCAUUGAAGAGGAGUGGCACAACAUUCCACAGGUCACAAUUAACAGCCUUAUCAACUCUAUGCGAUGGAGAUGUGUUGCGGUGCUUGAGGCAAAUGGGGGUGACACCAAAUGGGCGGCAGGGUAGCCCAGUGGUUAGAGUGUUGGACUAGUUACCGAAAGGUUGCAAGUUCAAAUCGCCGAGCUGACAAGGUACAAAUCUGUCGUUCUGCCCAUGAACAGGCAGUUAACCCACUGUUCCUAGGCCGUCAUUGAAAAUAAGAAUUUGCCCUUAACUGACUUGCCUAGUUAAAUAAGGGUAAAAAAAGAUACUGACUGGUUUUCUGAUCCAUGCACAUACCUUUUUGUUAAGGUAUCUGUGGCCAACAGAUGCAUAUCUGUAUUUCAAGUUAUGUGAAAUCCAUAGAUUAGGGUCUAAUGAAUUUAUUUCAAUUGACUGAUUUCCUUAUGACCUGUAACUCAGUAGAAUCUUUGAAAUUGUAGCAUGUUGCGUUUAUAUUUUUGUUCCGUGUAUAUUUGGCCUUGUAUUUUAAGUUUUUGUCCUGCUGAAAGGUGAAUUCAUCUCCCAGUGUCUGUUGGAAAGCAGACUGAACCAGGUCUUCCUCUAGGAUUUUGUCUGUGCUUAGCUCCAUUCAGUUCUUUUUUAUCCUGAAAACCUCCCCAGUCCUUAAUGAUGAAAAGCACACCCAUAACAUGAUGCAGUCACCACCAUGCUUGAAAAUAUGGAGAGUGGUACUCAGUGAUGUGUUGUAUUGGAUGUGCCCCAAACAUAACUUUAUGUCCUGAAUACAAAGUGUUAAUUUCUUUGACAUAUUUUUUGUAGUAUUACUUUAGUGCCUUACAAAAGGAUGCAUGUUUUAGAAUAUUUGUAUUCUGUAGAGGCGUCCUUCUUUUCACUCUGUCAUUCAAGUUAGUAUUGUGGAGUAACUACAAUGUUGUUGAUCCAUCCUCAGUUUUCUAUCACAGCCAUUAAACUCUAACUGUUUUAAAGUCACCAUUGGCCACAUGGUGAAAUCCCUGAGCGAUUUCCUUCCUCUCCUGCAACUGAGUUAGGAAGGACACCUGCAUCUUUGUAGUGACUUGGUAUAUUGAUAUGCUAUCCAAAGUGUAAUUAAAAACUUCACCCUGCUCAAAGAGAUAAUCAAUGUCUGCUUUUUUAUUUUACCCAUCUACCAAUAGGUGCCCUUCUUUGCAAGGCAUUGGAAAACCUCUCUGGUCUUUGUGGUUGUAUCUGUGUUUGAAAUUCACUGCUCGACUGAGGGACCUUACAAUUAUCUGUAUGUGUGGGGUACAGAGAUAAGGUAGUCAUUCAAGAAACAUGCUAAACAGUAUUAUUGCACACAGACUGAGUCCAUGCAACUUGGUAAGCACAUUUUUAUUCCUGAACUUAUUUAGGCUGGCCAUAAUAAAGGGGUUGAAUACUUACUGACUCAAGACAUUUCAGCUUCUCAUAAAAAAUUCUACAAACAUAAAUUCACCUUGACAUUAUGGGGUAUUAUUGUGUGUAGGCCAGUGACAUUGAAUCCAUUUUAAAUCCAGGCUGUAACACAACAUGUGUAAAAAGUCCAGGGGUGUGAAGACUUUCUGAAGGCGCUGUAUACAGUGUGUCUAUUUGGAUCUAAGAUCAGAGUUAUACUGCAUCUGGCACGGCCUUCUGUCAAAACAUACUGAUUGGUGAAUGAUUCCAUGGCAGGUAAGAUGUUUCUGUGUAAAACUGAUUUCUGAGUGCUGAUACAGUUCCAUACCACAACUUAUCAGAGUUUAGAUCUGUCACUAUAUGUCUGAUAGAAUAUCCCAAGGAUUUCUAGACCAAUCAUGUCUGGUAGAAUAUCCCAAAGACUUCUAGACCAAUCAUGUCUGGUCGAUUAUCCCAAAGGACUUCUAGACCAAUCAUGUCUGGUAGAAUAUCCCAAAGACUUCUAGACCAAUCAUGUCUGGUAGAAUAUCCCAAAGACUUCUAGACCAAUCAUGUCUGGUAGAAUAUCCCAAAGACUUCUAGACCAAUCAUGUCUGGUAGAUUAUCCCAAAGGACUUCUAGACCAAUCAUGUCUGGUAGAAUAUCCCAAAGACUUCUAGACCAAUCAUGUCUGGUCGAUUAUCCCAAAGGACUUCUAGACCAAUCAUGUCUGGUAGAAUAUCCCAAAGACUUCUAGACCAAUCAUGUCUGGUAGAAUAUCCCAAAGACUUCUAGACCAAUCAUGUCUGGUAGAAUAUCCCAAAGACUUCUAGACCAAUCAUGUCUGGUAGAAUAUCCCAAAGGACUUUAGACCAAUCAUGUCUGGUAGAAUAUCCCAAAGGACUUUAGACCAAUCAUGUCUGGUAGAAUAUCCCAAAGACUUCUAGACCAAUCAUGUCUGGUAGAAUAUCCCAAAGACUUCUAGACCAAUCAUGUCUGGUAGAAUAUCCCAAAGACUUCUAGACCAAUCAUGUCUGGUAGAUUAUCCCAAAGGACUUCUAGACCAAUCAUGUCUGGUAGAAUAUCCCAAAGACUUCUAGACCAAUCAUGUCUUGUCGAUUAUCCCAAAGGACUUCUAGACCAAUCAUGUCUGGUAGAAUAUCCCAAAGACUUCUAGACCAAUCAUGUCUGGUCGAUUAUCCCAAAGGACUUCUAGACCAAUCAUGUCUGGUAGAAUAUCCCAAAGACUUCUAGACCAAUCAUGUCUGGUCGAUUAUCCCAAAGGACUUCUAGACCAAUCAUGUCUGGUAGAAUAUCCCAAAGACUUCUAGACCAAUCAUGUCUGGUAGAAUAUCCCAAAGACUUCUAGACCAAUCAUGUCUGGUAGAAUAUCCCAAAGGACGUUAGACCAAUCAUGUCUGGUAGAAUAUACCAAAGGACUUCUAGACACAAUCGUCAGUCUCAGAGUCACUUCUAUCAGAGACGGGUGGAGCGAAUUGGCUGUUGAAGUGCAUGUCCUGCCCCUCCAUCAGGACAGGUCAGUUCUGGUUCUUAAAGAGUCCAUGAACCCCCUCCCUGUGUCUCACUGCCACAGCACGCCCUAACCUUAACCCAGUCUCUCUCACUGCCACAGCACGCCCUAACCUAGACUCACUGCCACAGCACGCCCUAACCCAGUCUCUCUCACUGCCACAGCACGCCCUAACCCAGUCUCUCUCACUGCCACAGCACGGCAGCCAUGUUGUCUGUUCCCCACCCAUGGUCUCCUCUCCAUUAACAAAAGCUGAAGAACAUACACACAUCCAGGUACUUUCCACAGGUGCUGGAGUUCUAGGUAAACUCAUGGAAAACAGAAAGGAAAACGCCACACUGCUGCUUGUGCUCCCAGAUAUCUAUUCAUAACAAUGUUUCCACCAUUAGGUCCUGGAUACCUGAUGAAGACCUAAGGGUGGAAACGUUAUAAAUAAAUAUCAGCUGGGAGCAUGAGCAGCAGUGUGGCAUUUUCCUUUCUGUUUUCCCAUGGUCUGUAGUUAGUCCACCAAUAACCCAUGGUCUGUAGUUAGUCCACCAAUAAACCAUGGUCUGUAUUAGUCCACCAAUAACCCAUGGUCUGUAGUUAGUCCACCAAUAACCCAUGGUCUGUAUUAGUCCACCAAUAACCCAUGGUCUGUAGUUAGUCCACCAAUAACCCAUGGUCUGCAGUUAGUCCACCAUUAACCCAUGGUCUCUUCUCCAUUAAUCCAUGGUGUCUAAUGGUCUGUAGUCCAUUAACACUAUUCUCCUGCUGCUCAAGACGUGUUGUAGUUAGCUGUAUCCUUCCCAAAGUUGUAAUAGUUGUCCAUGUCGUCCAUGUUGGCCGUGGUGAGCUUGGUGAGGUUCUGGGAGCCUCCAUUAUCCAUGUUGUUGUUUGCCCCUGAGGUCUCAAAGUCAAAGUUGUCCUCCUCAUAGUGGCCCUGGCCCUCCAUCCCAGGAAGAGCAUCUGGGAACACACAGAGAAACAGGGCUGUUAGGGAGAGUACAGUGGUUGAACCAACCCAGAACACAGUGGUAGAACCAACCCCAACCCAGAACACAGUGGUAGAACCAACCCCAACCCAGAACACAGUGGUAGAACCAACCCCAACCCAGAACACAGUGGUUGAACCAACCCCAACCCAGAACACAGUGGUUGAACCAACCCCAACCCAGAACACAGUGGUUG